ACCGAAAUUCGACACACUUAGAGUCUCCAGGUGGUUCCAGAGGUUUGGAGGCUCCCAAAGUCAGAUCAGGUCAUGGCACUGAGGCUCCUGAUCGGUUUCCUGAUGAUCUUCCCUCCAUGUGUUUCUUCCCAGACCACCCUCACAGAGUCUGGAGGUGGAGUGAAGAGGCCGGGAGAGACCCUGCAGCUGACCUGUGCCGUGUCUGGGGGUUCUCUCUCAAGCAUUAACGUGCACUGGGUCCGUCAGCCCCCAGGAAAGGGACUGGAGUGGACUGGAGUUGUUUGGUACGAUGGUGAUCUGAACUAUAACAGUGGCCUGAAGAACCGUCUCACCAUCUCGAGGGACACCUCCAAGGGCCAGGUGUUCCUGCAAGUGCGUGACCUGAAGCCUGAGGACUCCGCCGUGUAUUACUGUGCAGGAGACACAGUGAGGAAAUGCUGCUCUGGAGACGUACAAAAACAUUUCUUCCCUCAAAUACCAGGCAUGAGUCACUCAGCACUCUGUUUUCAGCAGCUGAACGCGCUGUUAGAUAACUCACAAACAAAAUAUAGUUCUGCACAUGUUCAGAAGGCAGAGUUCUCCAAGCCAUCCUUAAUGACCAAGCCUAUG